rnacentral:rRNA from 1 species
GAGUUUGAUCAUGGCUCAGAACAAACGCUGGCGGCGUGCCUAACACAUGCAAGUCGUACGAGAAAGUUCGCUUCGGCGAAUGGGUAAAGUGGCGCACGGGUGAGUAACGCGUGGAUAAUCUGCCCUUUGGUUGGGAAUAACUCAUCGAAAGGUGGGCUAAUACCCGAUAAUACUGCUUUCACUACGGUGUAGUAGUCAAAGAUAGCCUCUGUUUACAAGCUUUCGCUGAAGGAUGAGUCCGCGUACCAUUAGCUAGUUGGUAGGGUAAUGGCCUACCAAGGCGACGAUGGUUAGCUGGUCUGAGAGGAUGAUCAGCCACACUGGAACUGAGAUACGGUCCAGACUCCUACGGGAGGCAGCAGUGAGGAAUCUUGCGCAAUGGGGGAAACCCUGACGCAGCAACGCCGCGUGAGUGAGGAAGGUUUUCGGAUCGUAAAGCUCUGUCAGGUGGGAAGAAAUGUAUGAGGGUAAAUAGCCUUUAUACUUGACGGUACCACCAGAGGAAGCACCGGCUAACUCCGUGCCAGCAGCCGCGGUAAUACGGGGGGUGCAAGCGUUGUUCGGAAUUAUUGGGCGUAAAGAGCGUGUAGGCGGCUUGAUAAGUCAGAUGUGAAAGCCCUGGGCUUAACCCAGGAAGUGCAUUUGAAACUGUCUUGCUUGAGUAGGG